CUACGUGCCAGCAGCCGCGGUAAUACGUAGGGUGCGAGCGUUAAUCGGAAUUACUGGGCGUAAAGCGAGCGCAGACGGUUACUUAAGCAGGAUGUGAAAUCCCCGGGCUCGACCUGGGAACUGCGUUCUGAACUGGGUGACUAGAGUGUGUCAGAGGGAGGUAGAAUUCCACGUGUAGCAGUGAAAUGCGUAGAGAUGUGGAGGAAUACCGAUGGCGAAGGCAGCCUCCUGGGAUAACACUGACGUUCAUGCUCGAAAGCGUGGGUAGCAAACAGGAUUAGAUACCCUGGUAGUCCACGCCCUAAACGAUGUCGAUUAGCUGUUGGGCAGCUUGACUGCUUAGUAGCGUAGCUAACGCGUGAAAUCGACCGCCUGGGGAGUACGGUCGCAAGGUUAAAACUCAAAUGAAUUGACGGGGGCCCGCACAAGCGGUGGAGCAUGUGGUUUAAUUCGAUGCAACGCGAAGAACCUUACCUACUCUU
rnacentral:rRNA from 1 species